rnacentral:rRNA from 1 species
GGGGCCGAAGUAGAGUGGCGCACGGGUGAGUAACACGUGGAUAAUUUGCCUUCGGGUGGGGAAUAACAACCGGAAACGGUUGCUAAUACCGCAUAAUGCAGCGGCAUCUAUGAUGACAGUUGUUAAAGCGGGGGAUCGUAAGACCUCGCGCCUGAAGAGAAGUCCGCGGCAGAUUAGCUAGUUGGUAGGGUAAUGGCCUACCAAGGCGACGAUCUGUAGCCGGCCUGAGAGGGCGGUCGGCCACACUGACACUGACAUACGGGUCAGACUCCUACGGGAGGCAGCAGUCGGGAAUUUUGGGCAAUGGGCGAAAGCCUGACCCAGCAACGCCGCGUGAAGGAUGAAGUUUUUCGGAAUGUAAACUUCACAAGAAUGGGAAGAAUAAGUUUUGGCUAACAUCCAGGACGAUGACGGUACCAUUUGUAAGCUCCGGCUAACUCCGUGCCAGCAGCCGCGGUAAUACGGGGGGAGCAAGCGUUGUUCGGAUUUACUGGGCGUAAAGGGCGCGUAGGCGGCGCCGCAAGUCACUUGUGAAAUCUCCGGGCUCAACUCGGAACGGCCAAGUGAUACUGCGGUGCUAGAGUGCGGAAGGGGCAACUGGAAUUCUUGGUGUAGCGGUGAAAUGCGUAGAUAUCAAGAGGAACACCUGCGGCGAAGGCGGGUUGCUGGGCCGACACUGACGCUGAGGCGCGAAAGCUAGGGGAGCGAACGGGAUUAGAU